UCUUUGAUUCUUCGGAUGAAGAGGUUUGUGACUGAGUGGCGGACGGGUGAGUAACGCGUGGGUAACCUGCCUCAUACAGGGGGAUAACAGUUAGAAAUGACUGCUAAUACCGCAUAAGACCACGGAGCCACAUGGCUCAGUGGGAAAAACUCCGGUGGUAUGAGAUGGACCCGCGUCUGAUUAGCUAGUUGGUGGGGUAACGGCCUACCAAGGCGACGAUCCAUAGCCGACCUGAGAGGGUGAUCGGCCACAUUGGGACUGAGACACGGCCCAAACUCC
rnacentral:rRNA from 1 species